rnacentral:rRNA from 1 species
AUUGAACGCUGGCGGCAUGCUUUACACAUGCAAGUCGAACGGUAACAGGCCGCCAGGUGCUGACGAGUGGCGAACGGGUGAGUAAUGCAUCGGAACGUGCCCAGUCUUUGGGGAUAACUACUCGAAAGAGUAGCUAAUACCGCAUACGAUCUAUGGAUGAAAGCGGGGGACCGUAAGGCCUCGCGCGAUUGGAGCGGCCGAUGUCAGAUUAGGUAGUUGGUGGGGUAAAGGCUCACCAAGCCAACGAUCUGUAGCUGGUCUGAGAGGACGACCAGCCACACUGGGACUGAGACACGGCCCAGACUCCUACGGGAGGCAGCAGUGGGGAAUUUUGGACAAUGGGCGCAAGCCUGAUCCAGCAAUGCCGCGUGCAGGAAGAAGGCCUUCGGGUUGUAAACUGCUUUUGUACGGAACGAAACGGCUCUGGUUAAUACCCGGGGCUAAUGACGGUACCGUAAGAAUAAGCACCGGCUAACUACGUG